CAGUAAAGGAACUGAAGAGCUGAGAGAAUCCAAGCAGUUAACUCACUUCUCUUUGGGGAGCCCUCCAGAGAGGUUGGUCUGAGAGAACCUCUGAAUCUUGACCAUCCUUCUGUGAAGCCAGACCUCCUGAAUCCAGUGGAAAACAACAGGAAUGGAUAGCACUGUGAUAUAAAGCUAUCCAUCCCCAGAACCCUCUAAAUGCUCAUCCUAUGGAGAAAAUCUGGGGAUAGUUCUGAACCAUAGCCCUUCUGGGAGACAAGCCCUUUAAUAAAUGGAAUGCACAAAAGAGAGUCCUUGUUGGUCCCCUUACACUACAUCUUCCUAUAUCAUAUUGGAAUGCUACAUGAAAGAGGAGGACAGAUGGAUAAUGAAACAUGCAACCCACUUCCUGACAGAGAGGUAAUAAAGUCAAGAUGCAAUAUAAGGCA
rnacentral:lncRNA from 1 species